GAAAGAGGUAGAGGCGCAGUAUUUAAUAGUAUUACUACGGAGGAAAGCACUGUGAAGUAGUAAGAAAGGAAAUAUUGCCGAAGCUUAUAACUAAUGCUUUAAAGUUAUAAGGCUGGGGUUAUGCAGAAUAUGCAUAACACUGUCACAAAGAUGUGAUUUUGUGGUGAGCUAUCAUUCAU
rfam:Clostridium butyricum E4 str. BoNT E BL5262 CLP.Contig64, whole genome shotgun sequence.